rnacentral:rRNA from 1 species
UACGUAGGGGGCAAGCGUUGUCCGGAUUUAUUGGGCGUAAAGAGCGUGUAGGCGGCUUGGUAGGUCCGCUGUGAAAACUCGAGGCUCAACCUCGAGACGUCGGCGGAAACCAUCUGGCUAGAGUCCGGAAGAGGAGAGUGGAAUUCCUGGUGUAGCGGUGAAAUGCGCAGAUAUCGGGAAGAACACCCGUGGCGAAGGCGGCUCUCUGGGACGGUACUGACGCUGAGACGCGAAAGCGUGGGGAGCGAACAGG